CUGGCAGCCCGGCCCCGCCGCCCGCCCGCCACCCCCCGGGCAGCUCCCCUGUGCCCGUCCCACCUUUGAAGAGCUCCACGUGCUUGAACUCGAAGGGGAUGUUGUUGCUGCGGGCGAAGAUGUAGAUGGAGCGGCAGGGCUGCGACAGCAGGUCCAGAUCUCCACGUGAGCAGAGGAGAACUAAAGUUGAGGCUGCAUUUGAGUCCUCGCAUGCACCCGCAGUGUUUCCCAGCUGUGCGAUUCGUGGACAGCGACGUGCUGGUCACAGAUUCAGAUCCUUGGGUGUCUCUGGAGUGUUGUGUGAUUUUUAUCCCCUUCUCACUCUUUCCCUGUUCCCUUGAGACCUACCCUACUGGACCCAACAGCUUUUCAGGUGGGCCAUGAUUGAACCAGCCGCCAGCACAAAGCACAGCGUCCGUCCCCUCACUCGGUCCUUACGUACUGAGACACUGGCACAUGUCACAGUGUCACGGCACAGUGCAUCCCCCAGGGAGGGCUCCUUCUGGGGCCAGUGUGCCCAGACCCCUCUGUCCAGCACCCAGAUCCUGGGGUAAUUCAGCCCCAGCUCCCAGGAGCCCCCAGAGGAGCGGGAUGCACCUUUAGCAUUCCUGUAAGCAAACUGCCCCUCUAAAAUCCACUGACCGAAAGCAAACACUGACACCACAGGGCACAGAGCACUGGAAAGCUGUGACUGAUUUCACUUCUCUUCCUCUCAGUUCCCUGACAUCUCUUUCAGUUUCUCCGUUCCCGUGAUGCUCUCACAGCUUGCCCACCAGUCUCCUCUCCGUCAGCUCAGUGUUUUGCCACAAGUGCUCGUUGGGAAAGAAGGGAAUGGAUGGGCUUACCCCAGCUGCAAGCAACAGCAAAAUCUGUUCCUACCGAGACGAGUGAGUGAAGGAAGAAGCAGCGAGGUGUGUUCAAUGAACAGCCAAGGCAUGAAGGGGAACACCCAGAGCCUCAACCACAACACGCCUGAGGUUUGUUUUUUUUUAGUUACGAGCUGGAGCCUCUUUUGUUUCUUUAUCAGUUUCAGCCCCAGAAGCCUUCUCACCUCGCUUGGUUUUUCAGGUCAAUAUGUUAGCUCAAUUUCAAAUCCUGCAGAGCUCUGAAAAGACUGGGACAGUUUUCACCAGCUUUUCUUGCAAAGAAGGGAGAUGCAGAUCUUUGGGCAUCCUUUGGCAGAACAAUAGCCUACCUCUCGGGCAGGUGCCUACCAACUCCCGGUUGGCUUCCAAACAAUCUGAAACACUUCCCCUCCGGAGCUCACAGCUUUGGGAUCCCCGGCCACCAGGUUGUCCCCCUCUCCUGCUUUCACCACCUUUGUGAGCCUCUGCUCAGCCCCGUCAGGAUGAGUGCCACGGGCAGAGGGACCCGAUGCAGCACCCAGGGGUGCCAGCUGCCCCGGGUGGGCAGGGCGAGCCCCCACCUGCACAGCUCCUGUUCCCAUUUACACGAGGCACAACUCCGGGCCCAGCAUCCCCCGAGGGGCUCCGGGGGGGUUCCUGGGGGGCUCCCCCGCCGCCAC